CAGGUCAAUACCAGGAACUCAUUAGCCCAAGAACAGGAAGUGGGGGGGGGCAACACUGCCAAAGAGCCUGAGUCAGGGGCCCGGCCGGAGCACAGACGCUGGCCGGGGGCUCCUGGUGACCAGGCAAGCACCCAGGUCGCAUGGUUUGCAGAGUCCGGCGCUUCCUGCGCAGAGAGAGGCCGCUAGUGUGGGGCUGUGCAGUCAGCCUGCUGGCAGGUGUGCUGCUGCUUUGCCAAAUAAGCUGGGCAAGUUGUCUGCUUCCUCGUCCAGGAAAUGAGGUGCAUUAGCAGGAAGCUGGAUCAGAAACGGAACAGCUGGGACUUGAACCGGCACUCCUUAUGGGAUGCCAGCAUUCCAAGCCGCAGCAUAACCUGCUGCACCACAGCGCCAGCCCUUCAAGGUCAGACUCAAGGACCACGUGGUAUUGGCUCCCUGUGUUUUCACUGUGGCCUCAAGGUCUAACACAAAACCUGGCAAAUGUGGUAAGAAACUGUUAAAUAAUUUUGUGUGAAUGAAUUGAACAAAUACGAAUGAAUUCAACAACGAUAUGGGAUUUACUAGAAAGCAACACAGGGUGUGUGAAGUGGAGUGAUGAAUCAAUUUCUGGUUAGAAUCCUGUUGGGAGGGGAAUGUACACCACCGAGCCGGUUCUGCAGCUCUGCUUGUGAGUAACCAGUUAGUAACCAGUUUUAGAAGAGCUCCAUCUUGUGUUGUGUCAUUAAUUCAUUAGGCAACUUUGGGCUGGAGAGACUCGGUCUAUUUUACUGCAAACUGAGAGGUCGGUCUAGAUCAGGGGGCAGCAAACAGUUUUCCAUAGAGGAGCAGACAGUAAAUAUUUUAGGCGUUGUGGUCAAUCACUGUUGCAACUACUCAGCCCUGUCAGGGUGGUGGAAAAGUCGUCACAGACAACACGUCCACGAACGGAUGUGUGGCCAUGCUUCUGUAACACCUCGCUCACACGGACAGGCAGCUGCCUAGAUUUGGUCCGGGGGCUGUAUGUGGUUUCUGACCUCUGAGGUCCCCGCUAAUCUUCAGUCUGUGAUUUAAAGUUAUAAUCGUGCACGACUGUCCUCUCAGGGAGCCUGUGGAAGACACUAAUGG